UACAGAGGUGGCAAGCGUUGUUCGGAAUUACUGGGCGUAAAGCGUGCGCAGGCGGUGAUGUAAGACCGAUGUGAAAUCCCCGGGCUUAACCUGGGAACUGCAUUGGUGACUGCAUUGCUGGAGUAUGGCAGAGGGGGGUGGAAUUCCACGUGUAGCAGUGAAAUGCGUAGAGAUGUGGAGGAACACCGAUGGCGAAGGCAGCCCCCUGGGCCAAUACUGACGCUCAUGCACGAAAGCGUGGGGAGCAAACAGG
rnacentral:rRNA from 1 species